CCCAACCGAACCUCCAGCAAAGCUUAGAGCAGCUCAGCAGACAGCGGCGGAGCAGCGGCGAGAGGAAGCGGUUAGCGGGUUAGCGGGUUAGCGGGGGUCAGUGGGCCGGCCUUCAGCCAAGCUAAAAGCUAACGUGUUCAGGUCGGCCGUUCCAUCGCUCUCUCUGAUGACAAACUGGAUCUGACCCGACUGAGACUGAGUGUUCCUGGGAGAGGAGUGGUGCAUAUUUUGAGCGCUGGUCAGCAGUGGAGAAAGACGCACACGAGACUUUGAUGUCUUAAUGCUGAAAAUGUUUAUUGAAGCAGUCGGCCAAGUGGAGAAGCAAAGACAGUAAAACACCAGAGUGUUCUGCUCCGACGCCGUCUCUGUCCGUUCUGUCCUCUGAAGGUCCGAGUCCUCGUCUUCAUCAGCCUACAAUAUGAAAAAUGAGUCUGAUUGGUUUCUAAACAAGGGACUGCACUUUACCCGGGACACUUUAAGUCAUGUUGUGUGUAAUUUCAGCAGUUUUAGUUCGAGCGUCUGACUGUGUCAUCCACCCAUCUGUGUUGUUUAGGGAAGCCUCCUCUGACCUUGGUAACCAUGGAGAUGCUGAUAUACCCUCUAUCAGAGAGGUUUCUGCCUUCCCCAAAACACCGACAGCUGAAGUCUCAAGGAGAAGAAAUCUUAAUAUCUGAUGAAGAAUCACAGUGUGACCUCAAAGCCAAGCUUGACCCGAUGUGACCCGAUCUGACACCUCUAAAGAUGGAAAACUCCAUGACAACGAGGAAGUGAGCAGAAACACUCAGCUGUGGUUGUAUAAUAGUACACGACUACGGCUCAGUUGUGUUGAGUAUUCGGUCUGUGGAUGAACGUGUGAGGACGAUCUGAUUGGACGACAGCAGAUUCCUGCAGUCUGACACUCUGAGCAUCAUCAUCAUCUUCAUCAUGUGAGGCUGUCGGUGUGUCGGCGCCUCCUGCAGGCUGCAGACUUCGUGACAUCCUGGUGAUUUGAAGCUUCAGUCGGACUCGUCUCUCCUCGAAGUCCUGCAGCAGGGUCUCUGUCAGACCUCUGAGAGGGGGGGGGCCGGACCGGAUCC